UGUCAGCGUAUACCAAAGUUGUUGCAGUUAAAACGCUCGUAGUCGGAAUUUGGCAGUUCCGGAUGUGUGCACGUCGUGUGCGCACUUCGCGGGGAUUGCUUUUGUGGUCUUGCGUAGGAUGAGGCACUUUUAUUAGUGAACGUCCUCACGCAACCACUUUUUACUGUGAGAAAAUCAGAGUGCUCAAAGCAGGCAUUUGCCGUGAAUGUAUUAGCAUGGAAUAAUAGAAUAGGACUUGGUUCUAUUUUGUUGGUUUGUUGGGACUGAGUAAUGAUUAAGAGGGACAGUUGGGGGAAUUUGUAUUUCGGUGCUAGAGGUGAAAUUCUUAGAUUACCGAAAGACAAACUGCUGCGAAAGCGUCUGCCAAGGAUGUUUUCAUUGA
rnacentral:rRNA from 1 species